UGUUAUGGACGGCAAUAUCCCGAUUUCUAUUUGUUUCCUAAGGAAAUAGUUUUAGUGGAUGGUAUUCUGUGGUUUUUCUCUAAGUGUCAUUUGAAACUUCCUCAAAGAGUUAGUGCCCACAGAUUUUUGAAGCAGGAAUUUAGGAAGAAACGGCUACUUUAGACCCAAGGUCUUCCAAUGAUUGUAAAGUUUCACUAGAGGGCGCUCCCACUUCAUGGCCAGGAGGCCGCGAGGACAAAGGACCACAGCGCUCCGGAUGCUUAACUUGCUGUACAUACUGUUUUGUUUUCUCUUUCUCAUUCUUUCUCUUCCACUUUCUCACCCAUCGGAUAAAAAGAAACAAAGUGAGAUCAUACGAGUCUUCCUUUAAAUAUAUGAAGAGAAAUGAACUACACUGAAAAACUAGCAAACAUCGACAAAGCUCUAGAAGUAAAAUAUACCUAAUGCGAAGGACCUAGAGUGGCCAUCAUGUGGGGAAACGUCUCACUGCAAGUGCUAGAUACCAGAACAACCUUACUACAAAUCACCCAACCAACCCAGAGUGAAUAGCCUUGAACAAAGCAUGUUUUAAGGGAAUUGAAGCAUUACAAGCUUCCUUGGCAGCAAAAUCACAUAUUCUUAUCACAAAAAUAAAUGAGAGAAAAGAAGACAUACAUUUCUGUCAAGUUAUGUCAAGACAUAUUUGGUACCGGUGGAGUAAGAAAGAAAAGAAAGGAAGAGAAGGAGGA